AUUGAACGCUAGCGGCAUGCUUAACACAUGCAAGUCGAACGGCAGCAGACAGUAGCUUGCUACUGUGCUGGCGAGUGGCGAACGGGUGAGUAACGCGUAGGGAUCUGCCCUAAAGUGGGGGAUAACCCGAGGAAACUCGGGCUAAUACCGCAUAAUCUCUAAGGAGUAAAGAAGGCCUCUGUUUCAUGCUUUCGCUUUAGGAUGAACCUGCGUCCGAUUAGCUUGUUGGUGGGGUAAAGGCCUACCAAGGCGACGAUCGUAGCUGUUCUGAGAGGAAGAUCAGCCACACUGGGACUGAGACACGGCCCAGACUCCUACGGGAGGCAGCAGUGGGGAAUAUUGGAC
rnacentral:rRNA from 1 species